rnacentral:tRNA from 1 species
GGGUUAUGGCUCAGUGGUAGAGUACUUGCCUAGCACGUGUGAAGCACUGGGUUUGAUCUUCAGCAGCACAUAAAAAUAAGUAAAAUAAAGAUCUUGUGUCCAUCUACAACUAAAAAAUAAAAAAUAAAAAUAAAUACAAAAAAAUAGGGCUGGGAAUGUGGCUCAGUAGUCAAGUGCCCCUGAGUCCAAUCCCUGGUACCCA